AUACUUACAUGGGGUCGGAAAUACCCUGAUCAUGAAGGGGGCUUUCUCUAUCUGAGGCCGUCUAUUGCACUUAGGGCGGUUGGCUACCGCCACCACUGCAAAUAGCAGUGUGCUGGGGCACCUAAUUUUUGGACUCGGGACUGCGUUCGCGCUGUUUCCGG